UCGACGACACAGGAGUAGAUGGCAAGCUAGAUGAUGAAGAAUGGGUCAUAACUCAUAGCGCCUCAUUAAUUUUAUGCUAUGAAAUGUGUUUGUGAUACUAUUUCUGUUCUCAUUACAAUUUUGUAGUCAAGUAUGCCAACCGUAGCUCUCAGCCAAGAUCAGAAUAUUGUAAGAUUUUUUCUAUGUUUGCUUUCAAGUAAUACUUUAAAAUAAAGUGAAACUCAAGUCCUUCAUGUCAGGUUGUAGCAAGCUUGUGGGCUGCUGCUAUUAUAGGGACGUGGUGCAAUCUCCUCACUGUCGUUUAUGUCGGAUUUGUUUGCUCUCAGACGCUGCCAAUACUGUAUGAGAAAUAUGAAGAUCAAAUUGAUGACUUUCUGUAUAACCUCCUCGGGCAGUUCCAGAAUCACUAUAGCAAGCUGGAUGUGAGUGUGCUGAGUAAACUAUCCAAAGGAAAUCUCAGAUCAAAGAAGAAUGACUAGAGUCCAUCCUUCUUUGGUUCAUCUUGUCUUCUAUUGUGCAAUCGACAUUCUGUAUUGCUGUCAAAUAAAGAUGAAAGCCUCCACCACUAUUGUGAACACAACAGCAGCAAUUCUGUGCAUAGUCUUUUUGCCACCGAAUGCAGGUUUCUGAUACCCCAACUGGUUGUCAAGCAAUUAUGCAAACAGAGCAUGAUGUUCUUUAGGUCAAUUCCGAUGCAUUCUAAAUGUUUCUUUGAGCAUUCUUUGUUGAUGCUUAAUCUCAAUGAUCAAAGUUUGGAGGUUUUUGGUUUCUAAA